AAAAGCCCGAGGGCAGCUUACGCUCGAAAGAGUGAGGAAAGUCCCCUCUCCACGGUGAGUUCCAACUGCCGCAAGUCAGUGCCCCGGGAGGGACGGUUCAGGGAAAAGAAAAAUACGGCUCCGACAAAGGAUGAUUCUCAGGAUGACGUUCUCGGAAUAACCGAUGGAAACCCUUCCUGGAAGGAGAAAGUCUAAACAGGCCUUAUGAUGUCACCGAGAGGGCCGGGUAAGACGCAGCCAUAUGGCGAAAGUCGAAUGCUGCCAGCCCGAAAGGGGUAACAGAAAGGGGCUUACUCCGGGCAUUU
rnacentral:RNase_P_RNA from 3 species